UGCAGACAUAAGUUGCUCCGGCAACUGCAGACGUUCUCGUUCCCCUCUCUCAUGCCCCGAUGCCGAUGGCGUUGUGGCUCCUCCGUCCGGAGCCCCUCCCUCUCGGCUCUCUAGGCUCCUCCGUCCGGUGGCGGCGCCCUCCCCUCCCAUCUGGCGAUGCCCCCGUCCAUCCGGUGGCUAGCUUCCCACGCCACAACGUCGUGCCCCCCAUCCUGGAUGCUGCAUGGCAGAGGACCGUGAGGUCCUGGCCGCAAGCGGCAGGGUCCUCCUCAACUCCGGCGCAUGUCACUCAGCAGGCAGGGCCUUCUCAGAUCCUGUCGAUAGGAAGCCUGGCUCGCUCAGAUCCGGUCAACUAGCAGGAGGAGCUUUGAGCGAGAUGAGGAGCAACAGAUGAAAAGCGAGCAGAUCGAGCAGGAUGAAGAGCGAUUAGACUGACAAGUAGUGGGUGGGGGCGGUUCCUCCUCUCCUAGCACAAGUAACAAGCUCCGAUGGCACAUCUUGGGCAGCACGUAAACCAAUUUCAUUCCUUUUCUACUCUGACCAUUUCACUCUAGGACAAUUAAUUAAUCAUUGCUUGAUGUGGAGCAGCAAGAACAAGAGGAAGAAGAGAGACACCUGGAUGUAUAGAAAUUAAAAUCUUAUUUUAGGAUGCAUAAAAAUUAAAAUGUUAAUUUUUUAUGCAUAGAAAUAGACUUCUUUUUCAUCUAAGCUCAAGGCUUUCUUCUAUGGUUAACCUUCAUACAAUAUGAACAAAAUUGAGGAUGACCAAAUUGACAUGGUGCGCCCGUUCCUCCUCCCCAGCUCGAUUCGUUUUCCUUGCCGUAAUCUAGGAUGGAUGUUUGGUUUGGGCGAUGGCUGUGGAUAGGGCCUGCUGGUGUGGCUUUCUCAUUCGACUGAUGUUUUCUUUUUUUUAUCUCAUAUUGAUGUUUGAAUGUAUACAGUUUUGGUCUACACUUUGUUUUUUCUCCAGCAAAUUGUAAAUUUCUAUAUGUUACGGAUGUGACUACUACUUCACCAUAUGCAUAUAUUUUGAUUUACCAUUUUUUUUAGUUUUCUGAUUUGGUAAGCCAUCUUGUCCUGAGAUAACCAUUUGUUAAGCCUGAUUCUCUCACAUUAUGGCUUAACUGCAACAAAGGUGGCUUCUAUGCUUAAUGAAUUAAGUUUUUAUGCAAUUGAUUUUUGGAUUUUUAUGCUUCGAAGGUUCUAUGCUUAAUGAGUUAAUUUUUUACACAUUAAGAUCCAUUCCGGUGGCGGUCCACUGCAUGAUGCAGUCGGCGGCGCUACUUGUGCAAAGCAGUGGCAGCAGUUGGUGACGUGCAGUCCAUGGUCAUGGUGCUGGUGUGCACGGGGCCGCCCUCCACGUGCUCCCAUUGUCCAAACAUAUGUCCUGUCCUCGCAAUGCAGCGGCCGCCCAACCGUUAUCCAUCAUUGGUGCUAGGUCCGGCAGGCUGCCAGCGGUGUACAUGAUAGCCAAUUUUGAUGGGGUUUCUCUACAAUUCAUGGGCUAACACCAUGGAGGACGUGCGAUGUGGCCAGAGAAGACGGAGAAGAAGCCGACGAGUUGGCGGUCCGAGGCCCACGACGUGCUGUUGCGGGCUCAAGCUCAAGCGGUGCUCCUUCCCAGGCGAUGGAAAUUGGUGGUUUGCGGCAAAUGAAGACCUAGCAUGGUCAUGGUUCUAUGCAUAUAGUCAAAACUUUAUGCGACGGCUCCCUCUUCCCUCCCCUCCAGGUAUCCACAUUGAAUCAGCGACCUCCGCCACCCACCACUCGUUCGACCAAUCCAGUAAAUCGAAAGACAACCAGCCUAGUGGAGAAUGAACAUGACUAGUGCCAUGGUGUUGAUGAGAUUCUAGACAAGGACACAUCCAGCGUGGCAGCCAAAAGUGACGCUAGCACAUUUCAUGCUGGUAGCAGCGGGCCUCUUACGGAGCCUCCUCCUAUAUCGGAAUUGCACUGACAUCCAUAGUUGCUAUGCCAUGUUUUAAUUCAAUUUGGUCGUAGCCUUGUAGGAACAUGGGGUUGCGGCAAAUAAAGAGCUAGCAAUGCAAGCAAUGGCAUAUUUGUACAUUGUUACGGCUGCAUCAAGGUGAGGGCUGGGUGGACUCAACGGCAUUGGGGGCUGGAUGUGUUCAUAUAGGGCUCUUCGUUCUUCUUUUGUAGGGCACUACAAGAUUUUAUGCAAUUUAGAGAUGGAUAUUCCGUAAUUAUGGUUUGUGCCUAGAGAUUUUAAUGGUUUCUUCUGCCCAUAGAUCUCAACUUAUGAAAUUGAUGCUAGUGCAGAAAUGGAUCAAGAAGGUUUAUAUUGUGUGAAUAACUAUUUUCUAUGCUUCGUUGAUGUACCCCUUUUUCCAAAACAUUGCAGGUUGCUUGUUAAUUUUAUUGGAGUGAUUUCAGUUCCACGAGAACCUAACUGCAUGUAAAUGACAGUGCUGAAUUUCUGGAUGCAGUUUGGCUUAUUGAUGUGCAAGAGAAUAGCCGGUCGGUUGUUGAUACUUAUGGAAAAGUUCCAGCAAAAACCUUUUCUUCUACACUAAAAAACAAACUGAUUUACAAUUACAGACAAUCAUAGUUGUGUCAGGUGGAAUGUCCAUCAAAUGGAGAAGUUUUUACGCAGCAAUGAAAUUAAUUUUUAUUCAUUGAACUACUAAUUUGUAUGCAACGUGGCACUAAAAACCUUUAUGCGCAUCUUGACUAUUGAUUCUAUGUACCUACUAGGUCAUCACAUGCCAACAUUCAAAUUUUAAAUUUCGAAGAAUACAAGUUCGUCUCCAUGUGGAGAUGUUUCUAUGUGGUAACAAAAUUGAUUAUUAUUUAUCCAACCACUAAUUUCUAUUCAA